rnacentral:lncRNA from 1 species
ACUGCAACAAACACAUACUAAUGAUAUUCCAUAAAUAUUCUGUGCGAUUGUGAAGAAAAAAAAAAGAAAUGAAUGAGAAAAUAUCGUCACUUAACUUUUAACAAUAUAUUUGAAUUAAAUAAAAGAAUUAAAAAAAAAAAAAAAAGAAGAAGAAGAUGGAAGUAAAAAUAAUGUAAGAAAGUAGCACGAUUUCCGCGCCCAUACAUCUAUGCGUCAUGUAUAUAUAGCUGAGCAAAUAAACAUGCGGUUGCUAUCAUACGAUGCGCGUUGCAAUCUAUGAUAUUAAAAAUUGAAUUUACCACGGGAAUCGUGCGGCAUAAUAUUCAUUACAAUCGGAUACAUGUUACAGUUAUUUAAAAACUUAUCGCAAUUUAUUCUAAAAAUAAAAUCAGAAAAAAAGUAUAUUUCUUUAUUAUUAAUGAUGUAAUGUAACUUUUAAUAUCAUUUAAAAUAUAUAUAUAUAUAUAUAUAGAGAGAGAGAGAUACGUGACAUGUUAUCACGUUAACAAUUAUAAAAUUUUCCAUGCAAUUUACAACGCAACAUCGAAGAUUUUUAUCGAAUUGCUACGUCAUUAAGUUUCAUUAAUGUAAGGUCAUAAUAAUCUUAGUAUAUCUAUGUGCAUAUAUUGAUUGAUUCUUCGAAACAUCAAAAUUUGUAUAUGUCUUUAUUUUCAAUUUUUAUAUUUCUUUCCCACUAGAUAUUUUCUCUUAAUAUGUUUCAAUUAAACAUUAAUUAAUACGAACACGUGGUCGCGGAAAUUUUUAGUUCAUUUAAGUUAAUUUAAGCUGUUUAAGUUGAUAAAUUUGUUUCCAUGAUAGCUUCGUGUAUAAAUAUACAUUUAUGGGAAAAAUAGUUUCAUUACUAAAGACUAAAUAAUAUAAGAUUAUAGAUAAGUUUUAUUCUAUUUGUAAAUAAAUUAUUGAAAAUAUUAUCGAAGAAUAUUUAUUAUACGAAUAUAUUACUCAUCGUGAUGAUAGGAGGAAAAAUUAUAGAUAAAUCUUGAAACGAAAGAAUUACGUGUUAGAUUCAUUAAUCAAUUGCGUAAUAAUAGAUAUUUAAAUAAUCUAAAAUAACUUUCAAUUAUGCAUUUAACUGCCGUAAGUUUGCAUAAUACUUUUUUUAAAAUCAUCCUAGAGUGAACAUGUUGUCUAUAUCCGGAUUGUAGUUUAACAAACUCGAUUCUUCAUUGUGACCAACGGUUGGAAUGUGUACAUACAUUGGACAUUGCAAGAAAGUCAAUAUUAAGAAGAAUGUACAGAGUCGCGAUCGAUAUUCAGAUAGGAAUGCUCAGAUAGGAAUACUUAUACAAUGUCGAUUCAAUUUAAAUUCGUAGUAUAACCUCGAUUCAAAUUGAUGUAUUGCACGGUUCAUAUGGAAGGACAAAAAAAAAAAUCGAUGAAUCAUCAUUUGUAUGGAUCUAUCAUAAUAUGUGUUGAUUUAUCAACCGACCAUUCAGAAAUCCAGUAAUAAAAAACUCAAACAGGUUGAAUAAUUCAUUUCUACUUUUAUAUCGCAUUCAUUAAAAUAUAUUACUGUAAAAAAAAAAA